rnacentral:rRNA from 1 species
UACGGAGGGUGCAAGCGUUAUCCGGAUUCACUGGGUUUAAAGGGAGCGUAGGUGGGUUGGUAAGUCAGCGGUGAAAUCCCCGAGCUUAACUUGGGAACUGCCAUUGAUACUAUCAAUCUUGAAUACUGCGGAGGUAAGCGGAACAUGUCAUGUAGCGGUGAAAUGCUUAGAUAUGACAUAGAACUCCAAUAGCGAAGGCAGCUUACUACGCAGUUAUUGACACUGAGGCUCGAAAGCGUGGGGAUCAAACAGG